rnacentral:rRNA from 1 species
CCUCUAGAGAUUCCUACGGGAGGCAGCAGUGGGGAAUAUUGCACAAUGGGCGCAAGCCUGAUGCAGCCAUGCUGCGUGUAUGAAGAAGGCCUUCGGGUUGUAAAGUACUUUCAGCGGGGAGGAAGGUGUUGUGGUUAAUAACCGCAGCAAUUGACGUUACCCGCAGAAGAAGCACCGGCUAACUCCGUGCCAGCAGCCGCGGUAA